UACGUAGGGUGCGAGCGUUGUCCGGAAUUAUUGGGCGUAAAGAGCGCGUAGGCGGUCCGAUAAGUCGGCUGUGAAAGUCAAGGGCUCAACCCUUGAAAGCCGGCCGAUACUGUCGGACUAGAGUCCGGAAGAGGCGAGUGGAAUUCCCGGUGUAGCGGUGAAAUGCGCAGAUAUCGGGAGGAACACCGAUGGCGAAGGCAGCUCACUGGCCCGGUACUGACGCUGAGGUGCGAAAGCGUGGGGAGCAAACAGG
rnacentral:rRNA from 1 species